AGAGUUUGAUCCUGGCUCAGACUGAACGCUGGCGGUAUGCCUAACACAUGCAAGUCGAACGAGGUAGCAAUACCUAGUGGCGGACGGGUGAGGAAUACGUAGGGAUCUGCCCUUAAGUGGGGGAUAACCCGGGGAAACCCGGAUUAAUACCGCAUGAUCUCGCAAGAGCAAAGAGGGGGACCGCAAGGCCUCUCGCUUUUGGAGGAACCUACGUCGGAUUAGCUAGUUGGUGAGGUAAUGGCUCACCAAGGCGACGAUCCGUAACUGGUCUGAGAGGAUGAUCAGUCACACCGGAACUGAGACACGGUCCGGACUCCUACGGGAGGCAGCAGUGGGGAAUAUUGGACAAUGGGCGAAAGCCUGAUCCAGCAAUACCGCGUGUGUGAAGAAGGCCCUCGGGUUGUAAAGCACUUUAAGUUGGGAAGAAAAGGCUUCACCUAAUACGUGAAGCCUUGACGGUACCGACAGAAUAAGCACCGGCUAACUCUGUGCCAGCAGCCGCGGUAAUACAGAGGGUGCUAGCGUUAAUCGGAUUUACUGGGCGUAAAGCGUGCGUAGGUGGUUUGAUAAGUCGAUUGUGAAAGCCCCGGGCUUAACCUGGGAAUUGCGGUCGAUACUGUCAGACUCGAAAACGGUAGAGGGAGGUGGAACUCCAGGUGUAGCGGUGAAAUGCGUAGAUAUCUGGAAGAACACCGAUGGCGAAGGCAGCUUCCUGGGCCUGUUUUGACACUGAGGCACGAAAGCGUGGGUAGCAAACAGGAUUAGAUACCCUGGUAGUCC
rnacentral:rRNA from 1 species